GACGAACGCUGGCGGCGUGCCUAAUACAUGCAAGUCGAGCGAGCGGAACUAACAGAUUUACUUCGGUAAUGACGUUAGGAAAGCGAGCGGCGGAUGGGUGAGUAACACGUGGGGAACCUGCCCCAUAGUCUGGGAUACCACUUGGAAACAGGUGCUAAUACCGGAUAAGAAAGCAGAUCGCAUGAUCAGCUUUUAAAAGGCGGCGUAAGCUGUCGCUAUGGGAUGGCCCCGCGGUGCAUUAGCUAGUUGGUAAGGUAAAGGCUUACCAAGGCGAUGAUGCAUAGCCGAGUUGAGAGACUGAUCGGCCACAUUGGGACUGAGACACGGCCCAAACUCCUACGGGAGGCAGCAGUAGGGAAUCUUCCACAAUGGACGCAAGUCUGAUGGAGCAACGCCGCGUGAGUGAAGAAGGUUUUCGGAUCGUAAAGCUCUGUUGUUGGUGAAGAAGGAUAGAGGUAGUAACUGGCCUUUAUUUGACGGUAAUCAACCAGAAAGUCACGGCUAACUACGUGCCAGCAGCCGCGGUAAUACGUAGGUGGCAAGCGUUGUCCGGAUUUAUUGGGCGUAAAGCGAGCGCAGGCGGAAGAAUAAGUCUGAUGUGAAAGCCCUCGGCUUAACCGAGGAACUGCAUCGGAAACUGUUUUUCUUGAGUGCAGAAGAGGAGAGUGGAACUCCAUGUGUAGCGGUGGAAUGCGUAGAUAUAUGGAAGAGCACCAGUGGCGAAGGCGGCUCUCUGGUCUGCAACUGACGCUGAGGCUCGAAAGCAUGGGUAGCGAACAGGAUUAGAUACCCUGGUAGUCCAUGCCGUAAACGAUGAGUGCUAAGUGUUGGGAGGUUUCCGCCUCUCAGUGCUGCAGCUAACGCAUUAAGCACUCCGCCUGGGGAGUACGACCGCAAGGUUGAAACUCAAAGGAAUUGACGGGGGCCCGCACAAGCGGUGGAGCAUGUGGUUUAAUUCGAAGCAACGCGAAGGACCUUACCAGGUCUUGACAUCUAGUGCCAUUUGUAGAGAUACAAAGUUCCCUUCGGGGACGCUAAGACAGGUGGUGCAUGGCUGUCGUCAGCUCGUGUCGUGAGAUGUUGGGUUAAGUCCCGCAACGAGCGCAACCCUUGUUAUUAGUUGCCAGCAUUAAGUUGGGCACUCUAAUGAGACUGCCGGUGACAAACCGGAGGAAGGUGGGGAUGACGUCAAGUCAUCAUGCCCCUUAUGACCUGGGCUACACACGUGCUACAAUGGGCAGUACAACGAGAAGCGAGCCUGCGAAGGCAAGCGAAUCUCUGAAAGCUGUUUUCAGUUCGGACUGCAGUCUGCAACUCGACUGCACGAAGCUGGAAUCGCUAGUAAUCGCGGAUCAGCACGCCGCGGUGAAUACGUUCCCGGGCCU
rnacentral:rRNA from 1 species